UACGAUUAACAUGAAUGAUGUGAUUCUUACCUACUGUUAAUUUCUAAACAGACUUUGAUUUUUAUUAACAGGCUUUGGGGCCUAUUAUUCAACAGAGAAGCAGACUGUUUUUCUCAUGGGGAAUGAUUAGACUAGAAAAAAAAAAAAAGGAAAUUCUUUCCUUGCUAGGUAAUAAUAGAGAGAUAUAGCAAGCGUGGCCAAAAUACAACAUGAAGGAAAGCUCUGGAACCUGCUGUUGUGAAACAGUUCUUGUCAGACCUCAGUGAGUACUGUAGCAGUUUCUCUCAGAAGUUAAAACAGGAAAUACACACCUGAUUAAACUCCUUUAAGUUCGGAUAGCUGCUGCUGCAGGUUUGAAAACCCUGGCAUUUCAAAAUCUCAAUAAAGUGACUUUCGAAGCAACAGAAGGGCAAACCUUUGAUAAGGCUGCAAGCCCUGCGAGACUGCACAUGGAGGUGAUGCUGCUGGGGGAGGUGAGGGACCUGAGGAAGGAACCUCGAUGAGCUCAGGCACCUGUGGAGCAUGCAGAUCCUGCUGCACGCUUUCCUACGGGGCACUUAAAAACACUUCCAUUUUUUGAAAUCUUGCUUUCUUUGGGGUAUUUCUCCAUUUCAUCCAGUGGUUCUCAAAGUGUAGUUCUGAGACCAGCAGCAUCAGUAUCACCUGGGAACAGUGAUGAUAGCUUUGGCCUCUCUUAUAAACACCUAAUGGGCAGAAAUUUUCUCCUUCAGAAGAAUAACAAAAAGAAAACACCAAGGAGCUUUCAUUAUAGUGCAGCUUCUUCUCUGGUUGAUGAGAGGCAUGACUGUGACCUGAAGCUGAUUUUGUUUAUUUGAAAGGAAAGACAAUUGUUCAUUCACUCAACAAACAUUUACUAAACACAUAGAGCUGCUGGGCUUCUGCUUGGCGUUGGGCAUAUUGUCAGCUCCAGCUCUGAAGGAACCAUGAGGUGAGGGGAUAAACAUGGGAAAAAUCACAGUUCAGGCAUCCAUGUACUGAUACCAACUGGUUUACACAGGCUGAAUAAAAGAAGGUGAAUAAAAGAAGAACAAAAAGCCUUCUAAGCAGACAAUAGAGAAUGUGUAAGCAGCAUGAAGUCAGGGGUAGUGAAACCAAGACCCCUAAAACCGAGUUCCCCUGCUGAGUUUGAUUAACCUCUCUGUCUAAAAUUAUUCCCUUUCUUGCUCCUUCUGACCUCAAUCCUGGGCUAACUGGACACUAAUCAACCAGAGUCAGAUGACUAAAACUGCUGUUGUCGAUAACAUCGUUAACCUACAAACUCAGGUUUUUUCUCCAGGACAAGAUGAGCUAACAGACCCCCAAGCCAUGGACCACCUGGCCAGAGAUAGUAAACCAGAGACAUCCUGACUCCUGAAACUACUAUUACGUUAUUAACCCCAGCUUCUUUGUUCUUCCCCUUAAAAAACCCUCUAACUCAAAGACCGAGUGGGAGUGAAUCUAAGGCGUGUCUCCCACUCCCUUGCUUGGCGCCCUGCAAUAAACCCUCACUUUGCCGCUAA